GCUAAACCGUUAGUAUGCGCAAGCGUAGCGAGGGUUCGAAUCCCUCACUCUCCG
rnacentral:tRNA from 1 species